rnacentral:lncRNA from 1 species
CCCGCCGCUGCCGUCGUCUCUGUCGCCGGUGAUUCAGGCAUUUGGCCCAUGUAAAAUUGAGGCAAUCUGCGUAUUCAAAAACAAGACUUUUAGCUUUCUCAGUACCAAAUUGCAGCUGAAUUUGAUGAGGAAUUUCGAAAUUUCCCUGAGUUCAAAUUAGAACAGCGGAAAUUCAAGUACUCAAUACAGAGCUCGUAAAAUCCCAAUACAGGGGAAGAAGAAGAAGAAUCUUCAAUCACCCAUGGUCAGACUAUAAUCAAGAACAUAAAACAAGAUAUCAUAAACCAUAUACAAAAAAUGAAAACAAAUCCGAGCGAAUUGAAUGGACGAUUUCUUCUUUAAAAAGCUUUAAAAAAGCUCUGUAAACGAGUAUCAGACCAUCGAUGAAGCGAACUAGUCAAAAUAUCAAGCAAUAUAUCCCGAUGAAAUCCCAUAUCCAGAAUUUCAGAUUGUUUCACAAAUUGAGGGAAAAGAGUAACGAAACAGAGCUAAAAGCUGAAGAUCAUUUACCACCGUCUGGUUUUUCGGAGUUCCUCAGCUGCUUGCUUGCUUGCUGACUGGGUUUUUUCCAGGUGAGGUGGUUUCCAAAAAUGGAGAAGAACUGAUCGAGAUGAACGGUAAUCAAUUUGAAUCCGAAACGGAAACGGAGAUUUUUACUGUAAUGGUCGGUUUUGGGGGAGGAAAUGGGAAUGCGUGUGCAGAGUGGAGAACGAACGAGGAAGAAGGGUGGAUUCUUAAGGAUGACGUUAAUUAAUAUUUUAGUAUAUGCGAAAUUACUUGUCGGCCCUUGGCGGGUGUUUUUAUAUUGCAAGUGGCAAGGAUUUGGGAAUUGACGCAAGUGUCCCUUGACACGUAAGAGUUUUUAGCUGCCGACGUGGCGGCCGGCCCGGGGGGAAGUUGAAC